rnacentral:rRNA from 1 species
GUCGAAGGAGAAGGCGAGAGCUUGCUCUUGCUGGAGACUGGCGCACGGGUGAGUAACGCGUAGGCAAUCUACCUAUUGCAGGGGGAUAACAGCUCGAAAGGGCUGCUAAUACCGCAUAAUGCAGCGGAUCCGCAUGGAUAUGUUGUUAAAGAUUUAUCGGCAAUAGAUGAGCCUGCGUGCCAUUAGCUAGUUGGUAAGGUGACGGCUUACCAAGGCAGUGAUGGCUAGCUGGUCUGAGAGGAUGAUCAGCCACACGGGGACUGAGACACGGCCCCGACUCCUACGGGAGGCAGCAGUGAGGAAUUUUGCGCAAUGGACGAAAGUCUGACGCAGCCACGCCGCGUGCUGGAAGAAGGCGCUACGCGUUGUAAACAGCUUUUGUUAGGGAAGAACGGCUGGGAUUUGUCCUGGUGUGACGGUACCUAAUGAAUAAGCACCGGCUAACUCCGUGCCAGCAGCCGCGGUAAUACGGAGGGUGCAAGCGUUGUCCGGAAUCAUUGGGUGUAAAGGGUGCGUAGGCGGGCUUUUAAGUCUGGGGUGAAAUCCCACCGCUCAACGGUGGAACUGCCUUGGAUACUGGAAGUCUUGAGUACAACAGAGGUCGGUGGAA